CCCAAGUUUGAGAAUCCCUGGCGUAGGGUUUGUUUUGGGUUUCUGUGUGCUCUUGUCUAAUCUAGACCAUCCAGGAACUGCUGCUGUGUAUACCUAGAGGGGAGCAUGAGAGCGAGCCAUCCAUGUGUAGAGGAGAGAAGGAGACUGCUGCACACUCGGUUAAAAAUGGGCAGAGAAGCUGUUGCCUCUCUGGCUCCAGGACAUUAAUGGCUGAUGCCAUGUUGCCACUGGGGGCUGCUGCUGCGCUUUUAUCUGCAAGUGAAGAGGAAGAGACUCUCCCCUCCUGCAACACUCCUCCAGUUUAAAUGCCCCUGAAGAGCCUGGGCUGGGUUGAUUUUUUUUUACUUUCAGUUAUGCCCUCGGGUGGUGCGCACACUCUGACCAAGGCACUUGGUUAGCACACGGUCCUUGAGUGUUGUUGUGCAGAACCCACAUAGCUCUCUCUUUAAAAGAACAAGUGAACCCCUGUAGGAAAGGAGUGGGGGAGGGUGCUCAAGGUGGGGCUUUGGCCAUACAAUCCUCCACACCACUUGCACUACCAGCAUCCAAAUGGGAACAGAGGCAGUGAUGGAAGGGGACUCCAGCAGCUGUAGCAGCUCUUACAGGGCCUUUCUAAGUCUUGUUCUGCUAGGAGGGCUGCAAUAUGGUGGCUGGAGCAGCCAAAUGAUGUUGUCUCAACACGUGCCCUCCCAUUGGGGGAAACGAGCUGUAUAAGAGCAAUCAUACCCCACACCUUCCUCUACCGCAGCAACGCCGGCCCCUGCCCUGCAGUCUUCCUGCUUUUUGCUGUUUUCUCAUUUCUACCGCUAAGCAAUCUUCUGCUACAGUAAUAUAAUAGGUAAACAUAUUGCCUUGCCUUUCAGUUUGUAUAAUCCAGUUUUAGGAUUUGGGCUCCCCCCACCAGCCUUGCAAAAUCCUGCUUAUGUUCCUAUGCACAUCCACCUCUCAGGAAAAGCCGUUUAAAUGGGCAGGAAAAACCACACAACGUUCUGUUCUAUCUGCCAUCUUUCGCAGGAGAAAUGAGCAUGGGUCAUUCUAAGCUGUUCUAUUAGCGAUUCAAAGAAUAGCUAUAGAAACUUAGUGUUGCUUGCAUUGGAUGGACCUAGAGAUGUGGCUGUCCCUACCAGCCUAUUGCCUUAGUUCCGUUAACAGGAAUUGGGGGAUAAUAACAGGGAAAGGAUGUGGGUCCUCCUUAGCUAGAAGGCGUCGGUGUCAGCCAGAGCAACAUGCAAUCAAACCUCCUCUCAAGCCUGUCUAUUUAAGGGUGAGUGCAUUUUAUUAGUUUUGCAAGUGUGCUAGAGUCACCAUCUCUCCUUAUCUAAUCUAUAUAUUUAUAACUCCCCAUCACCAUAGUAUCGCUGUGCCUCUCAAGUAUUUAUAGAGGGAAAUAACAAUUAUUGGACUGUCCCUCUCUUUUACCCUCUGUGUGCUCCGAGCCUGCAGGGGAAAUAGCUCAAUUACCUGAGAGGGCUGCUUUUAAUCCAUUUGAGUGGGUCUGUCAAGAAUUGCUGGGUGAGAGCUCAGUCUCUUAACUGGGCACCUCACUUUGGUUUAUGAGACCCGUGGUCUAAACUCAUUGGAGGGAGCAGAUUUUGUCCCUCUGGAGCUGUCUCGUACUGUGUUUUUAGUCGGAUUGCUGCUCUGUUUAGCCCAGCACAGUUAGUGUGGCUGGCAGCUCCUCUCCACAGUGCCAGGCAGAGAUUCCCCCUCUGCUGGCUAGAUCCUCUUUUUAACUAGAGAUGCUGAAGAUUGAAUCCAGGACCUUAUGCCUGCAAAACUGGUGUUCUGCUAUUGCAAUUGAUUCAUCUAAGCUUGUUUCACCUGCAACAUGCAAUCUCUUCAUGGCUUUCUGGUUGCUGGCACCAGCUGAACAGGGAAGAAAUGUCUCUCAUCUCUGGAACUGGACAAUGGAGGAGAAGUAGAGCAUUCAUAAUCCACUACUUCCCUUUCAUUGUGCAGUUCCACCUGCAAUAGAUAUUUCUCCCUGUCCAGCUGGUGCUAGAAAUCAUAGAGCCAUAUUUCCAUGGACAGGACAUAUGAGAUAACAGUGAAAGGGUAUGGGUCAUUCUGUGCUUGAGCAAGUUGGCGUGAGCCACCUUCUUCAUUUUAGAGAACUUCAUAGUUGAACUGGUGAUGCUUCAAUAACAGCAGAGGCUAAGCAGGUGUGGCACCUGAACCUUGCACUAGCUCUGGCCUUUAUUUCUAGUUUGGAAGGCAUUGCUGCAGGCACAGAUGUGGCAGAGUCAAGAAGAGAGCAAUACUUGAUUGGGUGCCUGCCCCUACGCCCCGCAGGGGCACCAUGACUUGUAACAAUGCUGCUCUGUUGUCUUGCAACAACAAGUGGUUUCUGACAACAGCAAGUCAUUUCUUGCUAUGGAUUGUUCUCUCCUCUCGGAACAUGACAUCACUUUUCAGUCACAGCAGAUUCUAGUGAGCCAAAACAAACCAGCAGCCCUGUCUUUGGUCCAUCAGAUUAAAGCAUCUGUCUUUUGCUAGUCAGUCCAGCUAGGAUGAACACUUCCCAGCUGGUCCACAAUUGCCUAGCUUUAAAUCGCUGCUUCAGGAAAAUAGUGUAAAUUGAUGCAUAUUGGGGUGGGGAAAAAACCCAACUCCACAUAUAAGCUGAUGGGGUCUGAGCUGCCAGGGACUGAACAGGAGUUACUUUAGAGAUCAAUCUUGGACUCCAAACAAAUAGCAGACCAUGUGGCUAUUUGAAGCUCCAAAUUUCCAAAGUGCAUUAUUUGAAUCAGUAACAGUGCAACAUAUCCAUUAACCACAAAUGUUAAUUGUGCAGAAUUCUAAAUAGUUUAAAAGAGAGACGCUAGUAGGGGAGACACCUUGAUCAUGAACAACAACAACAAAUAAUAAUAUUUAUAUAUAUACUGUUUUUCAACAAAGUUUCCAAAGAGAACACAUAGAGAAAUAAUAAAUAAGAAGGCUCCUUGUCCCCAAAGGGCUCACAGUCUAAAAAGAAACAUAAGAUAGACACCAGCAACUGUCACUGGAGUUACGGUGCUGGGGGCAACUAUAUUAUUUUUUUAACAUUUUAUAUCCCGACGUUCCUCCAAGGAGCCCAGAGCGGUGUACUACAUACUUAAGUGUCUCCUCACAACAACCCUGUAAAGUAGGUUAUGCUGAGAGAGAAGUGACUGGCCCAGAGUCACCCAGCAAGUCUCAUGGCUGAAUGGGGAUUUGAACUUGGGUCUCCUCGGUCCUAGUCCAGAACUCUAACCACCAGUUACUCUCCCCCUGCUAAAUAAAGAUAAUCACCACAUUAAAAAGGUGCCUCUUUGCCCAAUUAGCAGAAGGAGGUUGACAGGAGGUAUUGGUUUAAAAGACAUGUUCACAUAUGCAGUGCACUGUAGCAUCCUAGAGACUGAUUUAUUGUGAUAUAGUUUUUGUAGCUUCAGCAGAUGUAUUAAGUAUUGAGAGAGUGUGCAUGCACACGCACAUGCAUUUGUGCAGGCAAGUAACAAAAGAACAGCUCUGCUGGAUCAGGCCCAAGGCCUAUCCAGUCCAGCAUCCUGACUCACACAGUGGUCCACCAGAUGCCUUCGGGGAGCCCACAGGCAAGAGGUAUGUGCAUGCCCUCUCUCCUGCUGUUGAUCCCCUGCAACUGGUAUUGAGAGACAUCGUGCCUCUGAGGCUGUGGUGAUGGUCCACAGCCAGCAGACUAGUAGCCAUUGAUAGACCUGUCCUCCAUGAAUCCGUCCAAGCUCCUUUGAAAGCCAUCUGGGUUGGUGGCCAUCACCACAUCCUGUGGCAGAGAAUUCCAUAGAUUAAUUUAUGUGCUGUGUGAAAAUGUACUUCCUUUCGUUUUUCCUAAAUUUCUUGGCCUACAGUUUAAUGAGAUGACCUCAGAUUCUAGUGUUGUGAGAAGAGAAAUAUUUCUGAGCGCUCACUCUCUCCGCACCAUGCAUAGUGUUAUAGAUCUCUGUCAUGUCUCCUCUUAAUCUUUUUUUUUCUAAGCUAAAAAGCCACAGGUUUUGUAGCAUUGCCACGUAAGGAAGAUGCCCUAGGCUCCUGAUCAUCUUGGUUGCCCUCUUCUGCACCUUUUCCAGUUCUACAAUGUCCUUUUUGAGAUAUGCUGACCAGAACUGCAGACAGUACUCCUAAUGUGGCCACACCAUAGAUCUGUAUACAGGCAUUGUAGUAUUAGCAUUCUUAUUUUCAGUCCCCUUCUCAGUGAUCCUUAGCAUGGAAUUUGUCUUUUUUACAGUGCCUCACACUGAGUUGACACUUUCAAGGAGCUGUCCACCACAACCCCAAGAUCUCUCUCCUGUUCAGUCACUGUCAGCUCAGACCCCAUCAGUGUAUAUAUGAAGUUGGGGGGUUUAACCCCAAUAUGCAUCACUUUACACUUGCUUAAACAGAGCCACAUUUGCCAUUUUGUUGCCCACUCCCCCAGUUUGGAGAGCUCCCCACAAUCUGUUUUAAAUGAUUAUAUAAAACAGAAAUGACAAUUAAUUAAUUGUACAUCUAGCCCACCUCUCAUGAUGGCUUCCAAAAUUGCUAGGAUCAGUCACUAGAGCUGAGCUCGCUAAGGAUAUGAGAACUAGACCGUCCCAUCUGAACACCUGUCCCCAGCCAUGCUUCACCUUGCCCUCUUGUUGGACUGUUCCAGAACCUGACCACCAGCCUUAUGCUUCUGCCCCUUGAAUUCCUGAUUUCCCAUUCUGGAACCUGCCCACCAGCCCACAUUUGCCCAUGCCCUCUACCUCCUGAUCUUUGGAUCUGCUGGAAUCCUAUUCCUAGCCUGUUUAGGUGCACUGUUUGGCCCACACCCUGGCAUACCCCCAGUCACAACUAAGACUUAUUCUACAGCUGGAGUACACUAAGGGUUCUACAAAACUAGGGCAGAAACAAGUUCCUGUCUGCUGACAUAAUCUAGAAAAUGGGAGGUGAAGAGGAAACUGCAGCAACUAGGAGAGAGGGGGAGAAGAGGAAAGCAAGCCAAAAGAAUACAAUUAACCUAAUUUAAACAAUCCUAUAGAUCAUCAAGAAGAGAACACAAGAACAAGAAUGUGAGUUCUUAAUUAUUUUCAAGGUAGAGAAUUCCACACAUAAGGGGUCAUGAAAGAGAAGGCAUGGAGGCAAGAAAUUGCACAGGGAAGUGGGUGUCCAACAAACACAUCCUCUUUAGUGCCACAUCAAUAAUCCCAGUCAGAAGCCCUGCAGCUGCAUUUAGUUUGAAAAAACUGCUGGAACUUCUGAAUGCAGAUCUCUUACGUCAUCUAGUUGCACCCUUACAUCUAACUUCUGCGGGAGUGUGCCCUUUGUAUGCAGUCGUACAGCAAGACACCUUUUGAGCUGUUGAUAAUUUUUGGCAUCACUUUUGGCAGGGUUGGGGUAUAGAAUGUACUUUACUUGUACUUUUAAUUGAAAUGAUCCUCAUAACUUAAUAAAUGUUUUCAUUGUACCAUUGGGGAGCUGUGACAGAGAGAAGGCUAUCCAGGAUGUCCAGAGCUGAGCAGAUUGGAACCCAGGUCUCCCAAUUCCAUAGAUGAUCCACUGGACUUUGAUGCGCAAGUUAAUGCUGGCCUUUCAUACAGGGCUUUUGCAAGGACUACUGAGAUGAUGUAGAUGAAGCAUUUUGACGGACAAUGCAAUUGCUUCUUGUUCUCAGAGUAGGAAGACGAGUGGCUGUGUGCUGCCAGUUAAUGUCCUAUCCAUGGUGCACGGCAGGUUCUCCUCUCCUGAACGCCCAAGCUUCCCUCUCUUCCCAGUCUCAUCUGUGCUGCUGGGAAAGAAACAUGGUAGCUGGUGCCACCUGCUUUCUUUGAACCUUCUUCUCUGCUGAGUGCUUUGCAAACAUUUAAUUAAUUAGACAAACAAAAAGGCCUGUGGGAAAUACUGUCUUACAUGCAAAUAAGGGACAAUGGUAAAUACAAGGAAAUGGGGCAAAUGCUGACCUAAUGGAUCUACAAUAAUUAUUUCCUUCUGUGCCAUCUCAUAAAGGCAUUUGAAGUUCUAAAAAUAACCAGAGCUGAAUCAGUGAAUGGGGGAAAGUACUGCCAGCUACAAAUGUGAGUUUUCAAAAUAUCAUGAGUGGAUUGGUUGUGGGUUUUAGGUCUUAUGAAUUAUUGAGGGCAUUGACCUGAGUUUGAAACACUUGCAGAAACAUGUAGUUAUCUGUCCUCUACUGAAAAAUGAUUUACGGUACAUUUGCAAUGUGCAACCUGGAGUGUAACAAUUUUAUUUAGUGAUGACAAACAGGAGCACAAGGAGGUGAGAAUGUGUGCUUUCAGAGGUUCAGCCCACACUCACAGCUAUUAGAUGAACCAUCGCCAAUGCUUGAAUUUUCGGAUGAGAAGGACUGGGGCUGAAACCUAUCUGGAUGUCACACAUUCCCUGGAAACAUUUGCCCUGAUCUCAGAUGUGCUUGUGAUAGAUGUGAUUACUCAGCGCUGGAGGAAAGGCACUGUGCACAAAGGCACUCUCUUAUUUGUACUAUGCACACAUUCAGAGGCAUGUUCUUGGUUGUUUUUUUAAAUUAACACAUUAUUGACAAGUUCCAAGCCUGAGAGAUCUAUUUGAUGAUGCCAUGCUAUGGAUACUGGCCUUGCAUACAAGACUGUUUUCAACAAUCUAUGUAAGGUUGUCUCUGUAGUACUGGUGGUACAUCCCCAGUGGUGUUAAUUCCUGUUGAGAGCAUAACAUGAAUAAGUCCCUGCACCACAGUACAGAUGGCUGCCAUGCAGAAGCACAGCAAGGUUGCAGUAGGCCAAAGUGAAGAUGAGACAUGGCCGCGCUUCCCCCCCCCCCCCCGCCAGUUACCUGUCUUCUCCCCCCACCCACCCAUAUUUGCUGCAGAAGAACAAGCUGUUGCCCAGUCACUGCCCGCCCCCUGCUCCUUCAGGCCCAGGGCCAUUUGUCCCCCUCCCCUUUGUUCAAUUAUAGCGAUACCCUUGCUAACAUGCUUCAUUAAGUGUAGCAGCAGGAGGGAUGGCACAAUCUCCAUCACUCAACGAUUCUAACCAAGGUCCAUCUGAUUUAGCAUUUCCUUGUCACAAGCAGCCGGCCAGAUACUUCUAGAAGCUCAUAAGCGGAGCAUGAAUGUGGUGACCUGUUGCCUGACCCCAGCAUCUGGCAUUCAGAGGUACACUGCUUCUGCACACAGAGGUUCCAUUUAACACUCAUGGCUAAUUUCCUUUGGCAGUUUAAGCUACAGUUAAUCAACCCUUGCUAUUAAGUCUCCUGAAGCAGUGUGGCUAUAUAGCCUGUGUCUUUGGUUGUCACUGGUGAGAAACGUAGUAUGAUGGCUCACAUAUGUGGAGUUAACUCUCCUGAGAAGUCUACGCAUGGCUAGCAAAUAUCACUGGUGCUGUUUCCUUGCCACUGGUUUUAAUGGGCUGUGUAUACUACUACUACUACUACUACUACUACAAAUAUUUAUAUAUUGCUCUUCAAUAAAAUUUUCAAAGCAGUUUACAUAGAAAAAUACAUAAAUCAGAUGGUCCCUUGUGCCUACAGGGCUCAAAAUCUAAAAAGAAACAUAAGGUAGACAUCAGCAACAGCCACUGGAGGGAUGCUGUGCUGGGGUUGGAUAGGGCCAGUUGCUCUCCCCUUGCUAUAUAUAAGAGACACGCCACAUUAAAAGGUGUCUUUUUGCUCAGUUAGCAGGAAUUAUACUGAGAUGGUUGAUGGGGGAAUCCCUCCUCUAAGCACUUGAGAAGCGACCCCCCUCUUACUGAACUCCUCCCCCACAAAACCUAAUAUCUUCAGUCCCGAAAACAAAUUUUCUGCCCCUCACCACAAAGUGUCUUUCCUCUUCCUGCAAAAAAUAAAAAAUUAAAUAAGAACAAGUGUGGAGUUGCUCCUCAAACUUUCCCUCUGUCUGCAUCCCUGUACUGAGGGCCCUAGUUUGUUGUACUAUAUACCCUGAAUGAGGUGUGAGGAGGGAGAGCACCAUCUAAGAGACCAGGAUGUUCUGAUACCAUGUUUUUCUACUUAGGAGAGGACAAGGGCUGAUUCACAUGUGCGUGGACAUCAUCUGACACCACUGCUGGAUGAUGUUCAGCUGCAUAAAUGGCCUUGGUUCAAAUGUGUUAUUUCGGUCUGGGAUGUCAAACUGUGGCCCUCCAGCCGUUGUGGGCCUACAACGCCCAUCAUUCCCAUUGUGACUGAGGGUGGUGGGAGUUUGAGCCAGGAUGGCUGAUUCACAGAUGCACAUCCUCCGUUAUUGCCAAUAUCCAGAGUGGUGCAUCAUGCACAUGGGAGCUCUUCCCAAAAUGCUCAUAACUUGUCCUUGUUAUGUACAAGUAUAUAACAAGGACAAGUGAUUAUGCACUUAGGCAUCCCCCCAGCCAGGGGAUUCUGAUGAAGAAUUUUCUCAGGAUCAAAAACCAGAACUCUGCACUUCACCCACCACUAGAAAGGCCAUGAAGCAUUUCGCUGAUUUGUGGCGAAAACCCUUCUUGACAAUGUACAAGCCAGUCAUAAGAAUAAGGUUCCCACUUCAUUCAAAUGAAACAAAGAGCCAUUGCUCAUGUGCAGUGUUAAUUAAUGUAAAUGCAUGCACAUUUAAAAUUGCCCAUCACCUAGCUCUGAAGCCAAGCUAAAAAUAUGCAUAUAGACAUGACUAACCAUAGAGAGAAAGAGAGUUUAAAAACUGGCCAAUCUCUUUUUAAAGUGGCCUGAUGGAGACCCUGCAUUGGACAUGACAGACUUUGGUGAGCUUGCGCUGCUUUCACCACAAAAGAGAGAAUCCUGCAUCCUGCCUCCCUGCCCGCCUCUUCAGAAAAUGCGUGUUCGUUCCAUCUGAAAUGAAAUGGCCAGGGUCAUCCAGGCCAAAUCCUAGCCCCAGGAAAGUCCAGAUUUCCCUAUGGUGCAACAUCAGAACCCCCUGCCCUGUCCUAUAACAGAGUGACCCAGGGUCAUCCAAGCCUACACAUCACUGUGGGGGGUGCUUAGGACCCAGCAGAACUCUCUCUAUGAAUGACAGACAGUGCUUUAAAAGGCCAGGCAGAGCCCAGAUGUGACAGCCUGUGCCAUCUACUGAGAGAAAACCAGCAGUUGCUAAUGCAGCCGCCACCGCCGCUGCUGCUUUCCAGCUCCAUUCCAGGUGUGGAGAAUUGAACAGUAGCACAAGAAGCCUGCAACAACGCCUUCCCAGGGAUUCUGUGCAUCCUCCCAGCAGCAUCCUCCCAACACUGAAAUGGCUUCAGGAUGUGAUAGCCAUCCUGCCUAGGUGCUCUUCUCUGCAGCAGGAAAGGACUUUGAUUCCACAAACAAAGCAGGUCAUUGUAAAUAGGACAAUAGUCCCUGCCUCUGGUUAGCGGGAUUGGCUCAAAAGCAGGGCAUCGGCAGGUUGCUGUCUAGGAAAAGGGCACAGUGAAGCAUGGAAAAUUGGAAGGCUGUCUUGAAUAGCACUCGGAAGGCUUGUGCCCUUGCAGGGAAGUUAUGAAGAACUCGCUGGCCAGGAGGAGACCACAGCUGGGGAGUAUCUGCGCUGGACAGCAAAGCAUUUUACAGGAGAAAGAAUGGUGAGCUACAGCCCUAUGCAUUUUAGCAAGGAUAAAGUACCACCAGAGAAGAAGAUGGUGGCAGUGACAUACAACCCAAACGUCCACUGGCCACCAGUGUACAUUCUUGCUGCCAGGGUCCAGGCCCAUUUGAAAUAGACCUCAGGGACAAUGGUCAACAGAACUAGGAUUAAUUCUACCCAGGGACUUGAUGCAUUCUAUCCACCUGAGGUGUCCCAGUUUCAGGAGGCCAUUGGCAUUUUCUUCAUGGUCAUGCUGAGCGUCAUUGCCUUGGUUGCCAAUACAGCAGUCAUGGUUGUCAUUCUCAAGACGCCACUGCUGAGGAAGUUCAUCUUUGUCUGCCAUCUCUGCCUAGUAGAUCUGUUGUCAUCCAUUUUUGUCAUGCCCCUGGGGAUCAUCUCCAGCUCCACUUGUUUUAACAGAGUUUUAUACAGCAUUGCUGAAUGCCAGACACUGAUCUUCCUGAAUGUUUGCUUCAUCAGUGCCUCCAUCCUCACCAUCUCUGUGAUCAGUAUCGAACGGUACUAUUACAUUGUCCAUCCGAUGAGAUACGAGGUCAAGAUGACUACUGGGCUGGCAGCCACAGUUGUGGCUUUCAUCUGGGUUAAGUCCAUUCUUGUCGCUGCUUUGGCACUAGUGGGCUGGCCCCAAGACAAUGGAGCCAGCAGUGCCAGCAAGUGUACUGUUUAUUGGAGCCCUGGAGCCCACAAGAAGAUCUUUGUGAUCAUCUUCAGCAUUCUCUGCUUUAUAGUUCCCACCUUGAUCAUAUUUGCAGUCUAUGGCAGCAUCUACAAGGUAGCCCGGAUUGCUUCCCUGCAGCAUGUCCCUGUCCCUUCCUGGACAGCCACACCCCGGCAACGAUCAGACUCCAUUCACAGCCAAGUCACUAUCAUCACAACGAGGAACGUGCCUCCCAGGCUGUCACCAGAACGCUUGUUUGGUGGGAAUAAGGCUGCCAUGACAUUAGUCCUGAUUGUAGGUCAAUUCCUCUGUUGCUGGCUCCCAUUCUUCUCCUUCCACCUACACUGCUCCAUCACCUCUGCCUCUACGGUCCCUGGUUAUGGUGAAAUUGUUGUGACCUGGCUUGCCUAUUCCUCCUUUGCUAUCAACCCUUUUUUCUAUGGGCUACUGAACCGUCAGAUCAGGGAAGAACUGGCAAAACUGGGACGACAAUGCCUCAGUAAGCCCCUGAGUCAAGAGCUGUGCAUCUCCAGCCCAGAAGGUUCCAUCCAGGAGAAUUUCCUCCAGUUCCUGCAAAGGACCAGUUGCACAAUAGAGACACGUUCCAGCUAUGUUAAUUCCAGCCCCAGGAACACUUUGGACCAGGCUGCUUUGGGGUUCAGAAUCCCAGGACAAAUCCCAGAGGAAACCAACUGAUGAAAGAACCGUGGUUUGGGGUCAUCAUGUAUACACCUCUUCCCAACUGGCUUUAAAUUAAGAGGAAGAAGAGGGAGCUCAAUGCACUGAAAGAAUAGGCUGAGCCUUCUUUGUUGGAAGAGUCUGCAUGUGAAACAAUUGCUUCUCUCAUAACUAUGCGAGUAAAUGGGAUGAAGGAAUGGUUUCCGCCUGUGGCUGACAGGGCUGGAUCUGAUGAGGUCAGAGCCAGUUUUACCGAUAGAGAACUGUAGUCAGCCACUUAGGGUGGGGCUGAGCAAGGGCAGAACUUUUAACCAAAUUUUCAGAGAGCACUUUGCGGAAGAUCAUGUUGUGAAUAAGGGCCUUUCCAGACAACCCUCCCAAAGUGCUUCUUUUUGUAAGUGUUAAGAUACUGUUAGCCCCAAGCCAGCAUCAGCGGUAGCCAGCCAUGGAAGGAAACAUGUUUUGCUGCCUUGUGAAUGUACAUACAGCCAAGUUGUUUGGGGUAUUUUUAAAGGUGGGGGGCAGGGGAUAGACAAAAAUUCAUACUUCAGAGCACCCAUUCUCCAAAGGUAAAAAUGGUGGAGCAUCUUAAACUCUUUGAAAUGUCACUGAUUGAGGAGGUGGAGAGAGAACUGGCACUGAUCAGGUACCUGAGAACCUAGAGUAAUCACCACCUGCACAAAACUUCUUAUUGCUACAAAAGCUGGGGCUGCAAUGAAUGAGUGGAGGGUACUUCAUUUUCCAAGCAUCUCAACAGUGUGGUGUGGAUGCAAGAAAAACUUGAUUUCCCAGGAACUCAGGUUCUAGUGAGAACUCUGUAUUAGUUGCUGCUGGCAGAAGGUCCUUCAGAAUAUUUGAGCACACCAAUAAAUUCCUUUAUGUGUGAACCAACAUAGUCCUAACGCAAAACAUCUAAGGUCAGAAGGCAUCUGCUGAGAAUCCAGUGGGAUAAGUACUGCCGGAUCCAGAGCACAAUUGUGGGGGUGCACCGGAAACUGUCGAUAGUCGGUCGAGAUCUCCUGCAAGGAAGUUGAGUAGCAGGCCAACCCGAUAAUGGCUUGUUGAAAUAAACAUUGUCAGUAUGUGUUGAAGGUGUGAUGGGCUUUGGGAGGCCUUACAGACUAGGGAAGAGAUGUGGGAGGUAUUCUCCAGACCAUUUGCCUCAUGAAUUUCUUUAUCUAAAGAUUUAGAGUCUUUCAGGUCUUGUAAACCGUACUCCAAGAAAGCAUUGUAAAUAGUACGUGAGUCCACUUUGCAGUCCCACAAAAGAGCAAGCGGGAAAUCCUCAGAAUCCUCAGGGAUGGAGCAAUUCGUAUUGGUCUCUGGAGCUUCCCCUGUCUGGGGAUUAUGAUUUACAAGCAAUAUAGAGGGAAUAUCUAGUGAAUCAGAAGCCAAGGUUCUUCCUGUGGACUUCCCAACUGGAUUCUUGAGCUGCUGCAACUGCUGUGCUGUGGGGCUGUAUACUUCUGCAUCAGACCCAUCCACACUUUUUGUCUCCUGGCUCACUUGGCUUAUGAUCUCCAUUUGUAAUUCCAUUAAAAGCUCUGUUUUAUUCAUAGAGCUCCUCUCCAAGAGCUCAGCAGCAGAUUUUUAAAAAUCCUCCCACAUUUAUCUGCUCAUUAACAGUCACAUCCUCUGAUGCGGCAGGGCAUUCAGUAAAGGAAUCCAUCUGUAUAUAUUCAGAGUUCAAGAGUCUAACAAGUAACUUUACUUGUUAGCCAUGCUAGAGUUCUCCCAGACUUCCUUCCUUCCUUCCUUCCUUCAUUCAUUCACUUACUUGCUUGCUUACUUACUUACUUAUUCGAUUACUUGGUGGUACCUUUCCUCCUUUUUGGUAUACAUUCUAACUGGGCUUCUAAUAUUGUGGUUUUAAAUAAUCUCCAGACAUUCUAGAGUGAAGUGACUCUCCUGAUUUUCACAUUCAGUUUUCUCUUCACCAAACUCCUCAUUUUAGAGAAGUUUCCUCUUCUGAAGUUCAAAGUGUCUGUGUUAGACUUCCUUAAUGAUUCUCUCCUUGCAGGUAUGCUGAAUUGGAUCACACUAUGGUCACUGUUCCCUAAAGGUUCCACGACACUGAUAUCUCAUACCAGGUCCUGUGUACCACUCAGGAUUAAGUCCAAAGUUGCCUUCUCUCUGGAUGGUUCCAUGACCAACUGUUGUAGGGCAAAGUCAUUCAGCAUGUCUAGAAAUGUGGCCAAUUUCUAAUGUCUAGAAAUUACCUGAAUGUGAAUUUGCCCAGUCUAUGUGUGGGUAAUUGAGGUCACCCAUUAUUAUAUCUUUGUCUCUCUUUGACGCCUCUCUGAUUUUCUUAUUUGUUAUUAUUAUUUAUUUAAAAUAUGUAUACCCCGCCCCUCCAGUGCACUACUGCUCAGGGCAGCUCACAACAAUAAGAUAGACACCGAUACAAUACAAGUAAUAAAAUUAACUUUUUUUAAAAAGUCAGAUUAAAAACCACAAUUAUUAGGUUCAAAUUAAAACUGAAAAUUAUAAAAAGCUAAAGAACCUACCAGAUAUAACAAAACAAUAAUGAGCAUUAAAAAGCCUUCUUAAAAAGGAGCUAGUCCACCGCUAGCUAGAAAGCUAGCCCUUUCUUCUGCCAGUUAUCAUCAGUGUUUUGGUUAGGAGGGCGAUUGCACAUUCAUAGUAACACGUUUCCUUUCAGGCCUUGUAUUUCCUAACUUUUUUUCUAACUUUAGGGGUUUUUUUCUAAGUUAGGUUUUCCUAACUUUUCUAGCUUCAUAGGUAAGAAGUCAAGCUCACGGCUCACUUCUGCUUCCUACUGUGUACAGUGUGGGUACAGGCUACAUGGCAAGCCAAUGUUUGAGCAAGCCUGGCCUAAAUCCAAUUGGUGCUUAUUGGACCCCCGAUAAGGGGUCCACGGUACUGCCUCCCCCUUCUCACAGCAGUAAUCCCCCCACUGACAGCCUUGCUGACCUCCUUGGCACUUUCCAGGCCAAGAAACGAGUCCACCACCCACCCACUGCCCAAGUCCCACUCCCUUUGUCAACUUCUCCGCCCGCUUCCAACCCAUACGCUUACCUUUCUCUUUCUCCUCACCCUCCAUCUUUCCUUUCUCCUAAGUGCAUGAAGUGUACCGAUGAACAACUUCUCCUCCUGCCCCCAAUUCCCCGGCCUCUUCCCAUCACUCCUUACAUCGUGUGGGAGAAGCAGCACCUGCUGCUACCAUUCAGGCUUGUCUCCUCCACUGGCUUCUCUUUUCCCUGCUCUCCCUGCCCGUGGGAAUGGAGCAGAGAGCCCCUGCAAGCAGAGAGUGAGAAAAUUAGAAGCCAGCAAAGAGGUCAAGGAGGAGCCUGAGUGGCAACAGUGAGCCAGGGAGGCAGUGGCGCAAGUGCCCAAGGACAUCGCCACCUCCUCCAAUCUGCUGCCUGAGGCAACUGCCUCACUGCAACUCAUGGAAGGGCCGGCUUUGUGUGAAUCAGCUUUUGCUUUCAUGGAACAUGUUUAGGAUCAGAGUGUAUGGUAUGGGAGGUGGAAGUCAGUUGUUAUUAGGAUCCAUGCCAGACUGUGGGUUUUCUUCCCUUCACCUCCCUGAUUACUCAGGACUGAGGAAUGUAACGACACUACAUGCUCUUUAAUCCUGUCACCCCUUCUUAUGAUGUGCAGCCAUUUAGCAAUCUCGUGCUGAAGGGAGCAGACUGUUUCCCCCCCCACGCCGCUGAGUCAGUAAACAAGCAAAACUGAAUUGUGUGAUCCCUGCUGCUCUAAGGGCUUCAGCUAAAAUAAGUGGUUUGAUCAAAGGGGUGCCUGGCUUUCAUUGUCUCAGUGUCUGCUGAAGCACAUUUAUUAUAGCAGAAAGGCAAUGCGUUUGCAUUACUGCUAGGCAAACAGUGCUGCAGGAAAGAUUCAAUUUUCCAUAGCACUGUUGCAACUCGAAUCUCUCUGUCCUCAUCUCACUUAGGAGAGAUCCAGCCAGUGUUCCCUUUAAUUUUUAUCAUCAGUGAGAGGAAAGAGUUUUGUUCUGGGCAGCAGUAGCAAUGCAGUGUGCGCACAUCUCUCUCUUUCGCUCACACACACUCUCUCUCUCUCUCUCUCUCUUAAUGUGACACGCACAGGACAUUAAUUUGCACAUUAAAAAAAAUAUCCAAAUUUUAGUUGCGGGGAGGGAGGGACAAGAGGAAAGUAGCCGCCUUUCAUUAAAAACAAUCCAAAGGCGGUUUGCAAAAGUUAAAAAACAUAUAAUAAAAAUGACAGUUAAAAGUAUUAAGCUAAAAAUAUGAAAACAAACUGAUUUUGCUUAAAUUAAAGCUUUUUCUUUUUCUUUUUCUUUUAAAGCCAUGGCGGCAGUAGCUGGGGUGGAGGUGGGGUUGAGAGGGAAGUUCCCCCUUUUACUUUAAUUUUUUAAGAAGCCACAGCAGCGACAGAAGCUGCAGCGGGGAGGCGAGGGGAAAGUUCCUCCUUUUGCCCCCUAAAGAUCACCACUGCUGGCGGCGGGAUGGGGCGCUCUGGUGGCGGCUGGCUGUGGGGGGGGGGAGAAGGGGAGAAUGCCCCCUUUUUAACCUUUGAAAGCCCGCUGUGCUGUGGGAUGGGGAGCGGCACACUAUCUUCCCUAAGACCAGGCAACGCUAGUCAGCAACCACUACUGUCGUUGAUGUAUGCAAGUCUGAUGUUGAACUUCACAUAGUCUUCCUCUCUGUGAUGGGACCUAGAGUUAGCCUCUUCCUGGAGGGCAUAGGCAGGGUGGGUUGUCUCACCUGACCCCAUGAGGUCAGCCUCAGACAACAGCCUCAAGCAGUAAAUGCCCCAUGGGACAGUGAAUGAGGGGCCUCCCACCCCUGCCACAGGCUCCACCUUACCCUCCUGCUGCUGACCCAACCUCAUCUGUGUUGCCACCAUCCAUCUCUGGUCUCCCCCCACACACACCUCUGGCACUGAUGCCCCCACACCUCCUUCACCAGCCAAAGUGCUGCCUGCUCCAGCAGCGCCAGCUGGCCUCUUCUGCACUGCUGCACCAAUAGCAGCCCUUUCCCUCUCUCGCUCUCCCAUUGUCUCUCCUCUCCAAGCAUCAAACUUGUCUACUUUGUCCUGGAUAUGUGUGGUGCUGAAGGGAAGAGGCGGGGUGGGGGAGAAGAGCUACUGUUAUCACAGCAGGACAGAGGAGAGGCCAUCUGCCACUUCUGGAGGCAUGCUGCAUGGUCCCUCAUGCUGUGCAAACAUCAAGCUCGAAGCUUUCCACAGAGGGCUUUUGAAGCCCUUUAACUUGCAUCUCCUCCGGAAUGGAGAAGGUGUGUUCACGUAUCAGCUAGAUUUACCCCCCAAUCCCUAUGAGUUAUCGGGGAGCAGUUCACACACAAUUUGGGUUUUUCACUGUGCAUUUGUCAUGCUCCUGUCUUCAGAUAGCGAAGAGAAAGGGGAAGCUGACAGUUUGCCAGCAGCUGCAGGGGAACCUGAAGGGCAGAGCCCAGCUGUUAGCCCACAGCAAAUAUCUGAGGCAGGUCUAGUUGAAGCUUCAGGACAACCGGAACCAUCAGAGGUAGCAGAGAUAAGAAAUGGAGAGCAGGACACUGAAGUAAACAAUGAAGCACCUUUGCAUCCUUGUGAGAGAAGGCUGAUGAGAUGCAGACAACAAGUGGAAGAACUCAGGAGAAGCAGACGCCUGCUUUACAAACCAGAUAAAUCCUGAAUCUGUGUCAGCAGGCCGAAGGUGGAGAGCAAUUAAGCCCAGCUAUAAAUCAAGACCGAAGGCUGCAGCUAAAUGCUAGAAGCAACAAGUCUUUUUGAGCCUGCUACAGCUGAGCCUUUGACUCAGAAGAAACCCCUGCUUUGGGUUGGCCUCUAGAGACCCAGGCUUUUUCUGCUGCUACUCUGCUAACCUGACCAAGUCCUGACAGCUGCCCUAGCUGGAACGCCUUGCACUCCUUUUGCUCUGGAACUGUGCUAUAUGGUCAGUGGACUGAGUUUGCGGGGGAGACAGUCUGUACCUGAUACUUCCAAUAAAGUGUUCUCUUGUGUUUU